rfam:Ovis aries breed Texel chromosome 6, whole genome shotgun sequence.
UCCCUGGUGGCUCAGACGGAAAAGUGUCUGCCUGCAAUGCAGGAGACCCUGGUUUGAUUCCUGGGUGGGGAA